UGAAUGGAUUUCAUCGGAC
rnacentral:snRNA from 1 species